rnacentral:rRNA from 1 species
UACGUUGGUGGCGACCGGCGCGACGGGUGAGUAACGCGUAUGCAACCUACCUAUCAGAGGGGAAUAACCCGGCGAAAGUCGGACUAAUACCGCAUAAACAGGGGCACCGCAUGGUGAUAUUUGUUAAAGAGAUUCGCUGAUAGAUGGGCAUGCGUUCCAUUAGGUAGUUGGUGAGGUAACGGCUCACCAAGCCGACGAUGGAUAGGGAACUGAGAGGUUGGUCCCCCACACUGGUACUGAGACACGGACCAGACUCCUACGGGAGGCAGCAGUGAGGAAUAUUGGUCAAUGGGCGGGAGCCUGAACCAGCCAAGUCGCCGUGAAGGAAGAAGGAUCUAUGGUUCGUAAACUUCUUUUGCAGGGGAAUAAAGUGCAGGACGUGUCCUGUUUUGUAUGUACCCUGAGAAUAAGGAUCGGCUAACUCCGUGCCAGCAGCCGC